AGACAGCCAGAGAGGGAGAGGAAAUGUGGGGAGAAGAGAGCAGGGGGAGACAUGCAGCAAAUGUUCGAGGCUUGGAACCUAACCUGCAACCACUGCGACAAGGACUACAGCCUGCCUAUAUGAGCACCAGGUAAACUGAUGGACAGCACUGGAUGGAAUCCACCCAGCCUCCGCUGAAUAACAUCCAUUAUCGUCUGCAGCCUACUGUAAAUUACCCCUCAGGAGACCAGGGCUGAAUUCACACAGUUACCAUCUUGCCGUAGGAGGAAAUUAGGCAGUUCUUUGAGCAGAGCCUGAUUUACAGUGGAGAGAGGGAAUAAGACACAUGGGAAAUCUAGUCGACUGAACUCAUCAACAGGAGUGACUGGCGGCUAAGAAACUGCAAAUUGUUUCACUACAGCUCUGCAAUAAUGCUCUUAGCACAUCAGCCUCACAUUAUGUUUAUGGAAGUCAUUUAAUGUUUGCAUAUUUCAUUCAAAAAGGCUCCGACAGAGAAACCAGGAUGCAUAAUUCAUCACAAUGCAGCUUCAGUUAGAUUUACUGCAGCCAUUAUCAAGAAAAAAAAGACUUAUGAGGUCAUUUUCUGCUGAUUCAUGAUAAACCCUGCACAUAUAGCUUGAUUGUAAAACCGUCAAAAUUGACCUGAUGCUUUCUUUAUGUGAACCAAACAGACAUUUGUUGUAAACAUCCUAUUUUUGGGAUCCGUUUGGUGGCUUAGAUGUGUCGAACACAAAUGCUGACUGAGCCUUUUCUGGCUGAGAUCAAGACCGUCUGUGUACUGCAUUAUUUAAGUGUAAGUGCCUUCUCUCACUCAAAAUAUUUUUUGAUUUCAGACACUGGAGAAUAUUAAGAAUGCUGUUUCAUUUUUCAAAACUUUUGACGCUUCACUAGUCGUGCACUUGGAGAUGAGAAGCAAAGAGCCUUUUUAAGCCUUCAGUUUCCUGCGAUUUUUGUUUCUUGUUAAGUUAAGUCUUUGUGGUUGUCUGUGUCCAGUUGAAGUUUUGCACUGUCUUUUUUGUUUCUGCCUCCUUAGUGCUGUAAAAUGUGUGUGUGUGUGUCCUUGUCAACGUUUGGAGGUGCUCAGGCAGACCAUAAUGAUCUGGCAGGAGUCCAAGACACCACCUCACAUGAGGAGACGAGGCUCAGCUACUGAUCCUAUAGAUUGGGAGUGGUUGUCUCCUUACUUUAUCUCGUCCUUUAACAACCUGAGCUCCUUGAGCUGCGCACCGUGGCACAGUGGGGAAAUGUGUUGCUGUUUAACCUCUGUUUGUCCUGAGGUAUGGUCCUGAAAACUCAAGUGGAGCUGGUUAUGACUGACAUUGCACGUCCUGCAACACGACUACUGCCCAUGUGCACAUCACAACUAUGAUGGUUAAACAAUAUAUCAUUCAGCCCUACCCCUCUAAACUGAUAUGGAGUCGAAUAGAGUCCUUCAUUUGAUACAGCUUUUUUCUACUUUAUUUAUUUCAGCCUAACAAGCAUGUAUUUUAGUCCAACCUCAAAACUUUCUGCGUUGCAUCACCCCAUGCUUAAUUUGCAAAUAAUCCUCACUCAUCCUCACUAAGUUUUAAAUGUAUUGGUCGUAGCUGCCGCAGUAUACACGGCCAACCAC